GGGAGGCGGAGCUUGCAGUGAGCCGAGAUUGCGUCACCGCACUCCAGCCUGGGCGACAGAGCGAGACUCCGUCUCAAAAAAAAUGACUGGACAAAAAACACUCUGAUGCAAACAGGCAAGAAACCCAGCAAGGCCUAUCUGGAUUCUCCUUGGCCUGUCUGCAGCAUUCAUUCCUUCUGGGUAUGGAACAGGACCCUCUGGAAUGGGGGCUGUGGCCUACAACAGUUAAACAAGUGAACUAAAGGGCUCCCAAAAUCUCUCCUGCAGCAUUUUCCUUGAGAAGGAGGAAGGUUUGCAUCUCUGUGAGAAGAAACAUCAGAAGCAGUUGAAAGACCAGGAUGUGGGUCCUCUGGGGCUGAGGAGGCAUUCUGAAUCAACUGUGUGUUCUACACCUGUGUUUUAACUGUGACCUGUCACAUGAGGACAAGUGUGGAAUUUCCCACUUUUGUGCCAUAAAUCUCUCUCUGGGAACAGUGUGGAAGAUGGAUUGAAAUGGUGUAAAAUUGAAGAUGUGGACUCCGGUUGGGAGACUACACCCUAGAUAAGAUGAAGAGAACUUGAAGCAAGACAAUAGCAAUGGGAAUAUAAAGGAGAGGAGACAUUUGAGUGAAAUUAAGGAAGCACAAUCUGCAGACUGUUUUCUUUUUUUUAAGAGUCAGGGUCUCCCUAUUUUGCCCAGGCUGGUCUCAAAGUCCUAGGCUCAAGCGACCCACCCACCUCAGCCUUCCAAAAUGCUGGAAUUACAGGGGUGAACUGCCUCACCAUGCCUCAGUCUGCAGAAUUUGAUGACUGAAUGUAUUUGGAGAGAGUCUGUGGCUUGGAUGACUGGAGACGGAGUUUCUCCAUUUUGGCCAGUUUGGUGUCGACCUCCCGGGCUUAAGCGAUCCACCCACCUCAGCCUCCCAAAGUGUUGGGAUUACAGGCGUGAGCCACUGUAUCCAGCUUGUGAUAUACUUUUAAUAAAUUUCUCUUAAACUUAAAUUAGCAAGUGCUUGUUUAUCAUCCUUCCAAUUAGAGAACCUGGAUUCGGCCAUUAGGAAGUCAAGGGUGGCAUUCAU
rnacentral:lncRNA from 10 species